UACGAAGGGGGCUAGCGUUGCUCGGAAUCACUGGGCGUAGAGGGUGCGUAGGCGGGUCUUUUAAGUCAGGGGUGAAAUCCUGGAGCUCAACUCCAGAACUGCCUUUGAUACUGAAGAUCUUGAGUUCGGGAGAGGUGAGUGGAACUGCGAGUGUAGAGGUGAAAUUCGUAGAUAUCUGGAGGAACACCGGUGGCGAAGGCGGGUUGCUGGGCCGACACUGACGCUGAUGCGCGAAAGCCAGGGGAGCGAACGGG
rnacentral:rRNA from 1 species